rnacentral:rRNA from 1 species
UACGUAGGGUGCGAGCGUUAAUCGGAAUUACUGGGCGUAAAGCGCACGUAGGCGGAUCGUUAAGUCGAGGGUGAAAUCCUGGAGCUCAACUCCAGAACUGCCUUCGAUACUGGCGAUCUUGAGUCCGGAAGAGGUGAGUGGAACUCCUAGUGUAGAGGUGGAAUUCGUAGAUAUUCGGAAGAACACCAGUGGCGAAGGCGGCUCACUGGACCGGUAUUGACGCUGAGGUGCGAAAGCGUGGGGAGCAAACAGG